AAGGGACCUAGCGUAGUUCGGAAUUACUGGGCUUAAAGAGUUCGUAGGUGGUUGAAAAAGUUGGUGGUGAAAUCCCAGAGCUUAACUCUGGAACUGCCAUCAAAACUUUUCAGCUAGAGUAUGAUAGAGGAAAGCAGAAUUUCUAGUGUAGAGGUGAAAUUCGUAGAUAUUAGAAAGAAUACCAAUUGCGAAGGCAGCUUUCUGGAUCAUUACUGACACUGAGGAACGAAAGCAUGGGUAGCGAAGAGGAUUAGAUACCCUCGUAGUCCAUGCCGUAAACGAUGUGUGUUAGACGUUGGAAAUUUAUUUUCAGUGUCGCAGGGAAACCGAUAAACACACCGCCUGGGGAGUACGACCGCAAGGUUAAAACUCAAAUGAAUUGACGGGGACCCGCACAAGUAGUGGAGCAUGUGGUUUAAUUCGAAGAUACGCGCAGAACCUUACCAACACUUGACAUGUUCGUCGCGACUCUAAGAGAUUAGAGUUUUCGGUUCGGCCGGACGAAACACAGGUGCUGCAUGGCUGUUGUCAGCUCGUGUCGUGAGAUGUUGGGUUAAGUCCCGCAACGAGCGCAACCCUCACUUUUAGUUGCCAUCAUUAAGUUGGGCACUCUGAAAGAACUGCCAGUGAUAAGCUGGAGGAAGGUGGGGAUGACGUCAAGUCCUCAUGGCCCUUAUGUGUUGGGCUACACACGUGCUACAAUGGCAUCUACAACAGGAAGCAAAACGGCAACGUUAAGCAAAUCCCGAAAAGAUGCCUCAGUUCGGAUUGCACUCUGCAACUCGAGUGCAUGAAGCUGGAAUUACUAGUAAUCGUGGAUCAGCGUGCCACGGUGAAUGCGUUCCCGGGUCUUGUACACACCGCCCGUCACACCAUGGGAGUUGGUUCUACCUUAAGGCAAGGUUUCAAACCCUUGACCACGGUAUAGUCAGCGACUGGGGUGAAGUCGUAACAAGGUAGCCGUAGGGGAACCUGCGGCUGGAUUACCUCCUUUCUAAGGAUGAGUGAAAGAGAAAAAUUUCACUCUAAAUAAUAUACAUCGGUAAUGUUGACCGUCCUCAUUUCUCUUCUUAAAGUAAUGUUUCCUUCUUGUAGGGCCGGUAGCUCUGUUGGUUAGAGCACACCCUUGAUAAGGGUGGGGUCGAAAGUUCGAGUCUUUCUCGGCCCACCAAAAACCUAAAUGGGGGAUUAGCUCAUCUGGGAGAGCGCCUGAUUUGCAUUCAGGAGGUAGCAGGUUCGAUCCCUGUAUCCUCCACCAGGAAACAUUUAGUUAUUAAAACUGUAAAUAAAAAUAAUUUAUAUCAAUAUCUAUAUCCGAACAUUAAAAGUUAUUAUUUAAUGUUCAAAAUAAAAAUUUGAUCACAACAUAGAUAAAUUUUCUGUUAAAAGAAUUUUUUUCUGUGCAUAAAUCAAGCGUUUAAGGGCGUGUAGUGGAUGCCUUGGCACUGAAAGCCGAUGAAGGACGUGAUAUACUGCGAUAAGUUUCGGGGAGCUCUAUGUAAGCUUUGAUCCGAAAAUUU
rnacentral:sRNA from 1 species